rnacentral:rRNA from 1 species
GACGAACGCUGGCGGCGUGCUUAACACAUGCAAGUCGAACGGAAAGGCUCCAGCUUGCUGGAGUACUCGAGUGGCGAACGGGUGAGUAACACGUGGGUAAUCUGCCCUGCACUCUGGGAUAAGCCUGGGAAAGGGGGCUUAUUCUUGGAAAGAACCUUCCCCUUUAUGGGGUUGGGGGGAAGUUUUUGCGGUGUGGGUUGGGCCGCGGGCUUAUCGGCUUGUUGGGGGGGGGGUGGCCUACCAAGCCAACGCGGGGUGGCCGGCCUGGGAGGGUGAUCGGCCACAUUGGGACUGAGAUACGGCCCAGACUCCUACGGGAGGCAGCAGUGGGGAAUAUUGCACAAUGGGCGGAAGCCUGAUGCAGCGACGCCGCGUGAGGGAUGACGGCCUUCGGGUUGUAAACCUCUUUCAGCAGGGACGAAGCGUAAGUGACGGUACCUGCAGAAGAAGCACCGGCUAACUAUGUG